GAUGAAGAACGCAGCGAAAUGCGAUAAGUAAUGUGAAUUGCAGAAUUCAGUGAAUCAUCGAAUCUUUGAACGCACAUUGCGCCCCUUGGUAUUCCGAGGGGCAUGCCUGUUCGAGCGUCAUUAUAACCCCUCAAGCUCAGCUUGGUGUUGGGGCCUGCUGCACUGGCAGCCCUUAAAAUCAGUGGCGGCGCCAUCUGGCUCUAAGCGUAGUAAUUCUUCUCGCUAUGGAGUCCUGGUGGAUGCUUGCCAUCAACCCCCAAUUUUUCUAUGGUUGACCUCGGAUCAGGUAGGGAUACCCGCUGAACUUAAGCUUAUCAAUAAGCGGAGGA
rnacentral:misc_RNA from 1 species